rnacentral:rRNA from 1 species
UACGGAGGGGGCUAGCGUUGUUCGGAAUUACUGGGCGUAAAGGGCGCGUAGGCGGCGAUCCAAGUUAGGCGUGAAAGGCCUGGGCUCAACCCGGGAACUGCGCUUGAUACUGGAUUGCUUGAGUCCGGGGAGAGGAUGGCGGAAUUCCGAGUGUAGAGGUGAAAUUCGUAGAUAUUCGGAAGAACACCAGUGGCGAAGGCGCUACUGGACGAAGUAUG